GUGAUAUCCAGCGCAGAUACGUACGUAGUCGGGAUUACUAAUAGUCACGCAUCUGGUCAGGAUGGUGAAGGAAACGCGAGCGGUACACACUGUAAAAAGCUAUGUUGCUUAGCUUGGUGUCUCCAUACACCAUAGUCAUACACUAUGGGCGAUUUAGAGACACCAAUUACACUGCAUGAUUUUGCACUAUGGGAGGAAAUUUGAGUACCUGGAAGAAACCCAUGCAACAUGGAGAGAACGUGCAAACUACACACACACACACACACAGGUGUCGUCACCGCUGGGCAGCCAGUGGAGAGGCUGUUCUGCAGGACCCCAGCAGAGCAGAGCGUGGGUUCAGCUUGACGGCCACCUUGCUGUCCGCCCCAGGAUCGGUCACACUGCCAGAACUACUGAUUCAAACUUGGAACCCAUCCCAGGAAGCACAUGGCAUGAGGCAGGGGACACCCUGGACUGGGCAGACACACACUGAGAGCUACUAAUUUAGCCCAUAAGAAGAAACCAGAGAACUAAGUGGGAAACCCACACAAGCACAGGAACAAACUUGAAAACUCCGCACACAUUGCCAGGGCAGGGAUCAAGCCCACAAUCCUGGAGGCGUGAGGCUUCAUAGCACCAUUUUGCCUUGCCUGAUGACAAAAUAAGGCAUGGAUAAGAUAGACGAUGCCAUGAAGUCAUGAAGAUUUCGCGGUAUAUGACUGCGCCGGACACUUGGCUUCCGGUGACAGAAUGGUGAAAAAAGAGGGGAGGAUGUGACGAGGAAAAGAGGAAAGGCAGACUUCAUGAAGAUCUGCAACAAGCUAAGGUGCUGGUGGUUGUAGUUCACAAUUCCCAUCCUACUUAGGGGUCAGAACCAGAAAGUCAAAACAAAAAGAAUUUCAGCUUCCUGUCAGUCUCUUUUGGUUUUUCUUAUACCCUUGCUUUCUCCUCUCGCCCCCCACCCUGGUUUGUAACCUCUCAGGCAGAAUUCUGUUGCUGUGAGGCAGCUGGUCUAAGUGUGAACUCUGAAAACAUUGCUGUGUUCUUCGGCACAUGCUGCGCGUGACUGUGGCCUGUUGCAGAUACCCACUGUUAUUGUCAAACCUAGCUAGGCCUGCGGCCCAGCUGAUGACAAGGCCAUAAAUUCCCUCUGCUGUUUAACCUCAUUGUCAUCUCUAUAGCAUGAGAAAGUUUAAUGUCAGCAUCGCGGAAGGGCAGUGAAGUUUUCAGAAGCACCGAGAGCAGCUUAUGGUAACUUAAGUGGCUAUAAUGAAUCAUCUGUUUUGCGGACCUGGAUAUCUCCUGACUAAGCCUAGUGUUGGUCCAGAGAAACUUAACAAAGUACACAAAACACUUAAAUAUUUUAAAACAUACCUCUAUACCUGUCUUGUUUUUAUUAUCUUGAUUUGCUACAUUUUACACUAUGCCAUGCCAUUCAGCAGCUGUGUUCAUCUCCUGACAGCGGGAUACUUCUGGAAAUGAUAAGUAAUGGAAUGUUGUUAUUAUUUUCAGGAUUUAAUAAAUGGCAUCUUGGGUGCUUUGUUGCUCUAUGGGUUAUGACUUUACUCUCUAUCUCCAAGCUAUCCUUACUUGUAUGUCACUUUGAACAAAAACCAUCGGCUACAUAAAUGUAAAGAGAUUGAUACUGUAUUCUCAGAACCAUGCAUUCUUAGUAGAAAUUUGUAUGUGUGAUCCAUAUUUUUCUAUAUUUUGGAGACUGUGGUCCAUUAUGGUUGUUUUAGUAGGUGGUCCUGCAAAGACAGCUUACUGCAGUGUAGACCCUGGAUGGCUUUGUUACUGACGUAAGAUAGACCUGCACUGCUGCAUCCUGCGUGGUUCAAAAGCCGGUUAUGUGGUUGGUUGAAGAGUCUAAGAGUCGUGACAGCCAGAUGAGUAGCAUGACAGGGGGCUGGGGGUUGGCGUAUGGGGGGGCAGGAAAUGGUUUCCCGAGUAGCUGUCUCCACCUCCAGAUACUUGAGUGCUGGAAGAACAUUAUUCUAAUUGCAGCAAUAAAAGUUUUUACAAAUGAGCUUAUAGUGCAGAAAAGACUGGGCCAGGGCGGGUGCUAAUGAACGGGCAGUUUUCAUGUGCGCUGUUCCCACAUAGCUGCAGUGCUUCUCAUUAACAGGAAGCCCACAAGGUGCUUUGCUUAGCAGAUUUUCAUACUGUUGUACAUAUAGUGGCAUAUAGUACAUAUAGUGGUGUACAUACUGGUAUUUAUGCUCUGUAUUUUUUCGUUUCUUUUCUUUUUAGUGAUUAGUUGGAAACCCAUUUGUUAUGUGAAACCAAUUAAGAAAUAAAACAUAAGAGGGGCAUGUUUCAGAUUGCUCUAGAGGUUUAUAGACUUUUAUGUUCUCCCUGUGUUUGUGUGAGUUUCUGUCGAAUAAAAAGUGUCAUAAAAAUAGUGGGGAAUGGAGAAGUUAAGAGUGCCCCUCAGACUGUGCUGAACCUGCCCUAUUAGUUAUGAAAAUAACAGGAGUUGAGGCAAUGGGCUUUUCUUUAACUUGGGACACAGCCUUCUAGUAAAGUUUUAAAGUUUUCCAUGGCUUCCUUCACUGCUAGUUAGCUUUUGCAAUAUAUUUAUGAAUUAAGUUUAGGUUCUUUUAAUUUUUCCUGGGAGAUAUGCGUCACUUUCCAUUGUUCUUCAGGCUUCCACUGGAAGUAUGAGCAACAAACAGCUUUAUGGUGAUGUGAGAUCAUGCUUUUACGAGAACAUAUCACCUUCCACUGCCCCCCAUCCGUCCACAAACUUCUGAAAGUUUUCUCUCUCUCUUUUCCAUCCCAAUUUCCCCUCUUCUCCAUCUUUUCACCCUUGUGCAUGGGAAUAUUGACAGAGAUUAACUCUAUCUCAAGAGGAGCUGAGGACAUGCCAGACUGAGAAGAGAGAAGAAAAGAGAGCAAGAGCUUAUGAAAUAUUGACUAGCGCCUGUGCUGUCUUUUGCCUCAUCUGUCUUUGCUAAUGCUUUAUGGGGCAACAGAAGACUCUCUCAGAAAAUAUGGUGGAAUGUGAUGCUUUGAUUAGUGCGUAUGGAAUGUAUGAACCUAUACAGUAUGGCUAUUAUAGAAAAAGUAUGGUCAUUCUCACCCACUAUUUAGUCAAUCAGACACUCCCACUUGUAUAAGAAGAGUAAUCUGAAAAAGGGAAGAGGAGAAAAAGGAGAGAUGAAGGAAAACAAACAUGAAGUGACAAGAGAAAAGAAACACAGAACUAGGAUGCUGAUGGUAUUUCUCUUUCACCUUUAUAACCCACGCUAAACUUGGUUGUCGAUGUGUGCUAGGACAGGUCUUGUUUGAGGCUUAAAUGAAAAUGAAUUAUUAAAAUGAUAAAUGAGUAAAAUGUGGAUCAGAGUGCUAUCAGUGUCUUGGUAGCAGUUUGAAACAAACAGCCUUCAAAAUGAACAAAAAAAAAAACAAUCACGAAAACAUGACAGAAUGUGCAGGAAGUGAGUGAAGGAGCCCCUGUGGCAUGGAGCUUCUUAAAAACUCACCCAUGUUCUAAUGCUACAGUGCUGCUUGGUCUCCUAUACCUGCUGCUUUGUCAUUAGUUUACAGAAUCAGCAACUACAGCAGUGAGCAACUACAGCAGUGAAACAAACAAUGAAACAAAAAGGUUGGCUCCUGUCUUCUAUCUUAUUAAAAUAGGAAAGGCCUUUAGAGCAUAAACAGACUCCAUAAUGGUGCUGGGAAGUGUGAAAGAGCUUUUGAACUCACUGUCAACAGUGAGUGAAUUCCACCCACACUUUGAGACUGUAACUUUUCAGUAUGGAGACGUCUUUGAGGGCCUGCCAGACGAAAGAGAGGCGUCGGGGUCUACAGAGAAUCUGUCCUGACGUGCCUUCAUUUUAAUUAAUUAUAACCGGUGAUAAUCCACAUUUUUCCUUUUUUUCGUAAGGUACUCGCAUACACCUUCAUCAUGACUACUUGGAUUCUGAAGAAUGUGUCCUCUGAUUCUGGUACCCUAUUAUGCUAAAUGAUGGCCAGACAUUAGUAUAAGUGACGUCAUCGUUACUCUGAUACAGUAUAUUGAUUAUUUUAAGGAUGAACCGAAAUUCCCUUUGUGUAUUUAUGUAUAUAUCUUGCUUUUUCCCGGCUUUUCCACAAAUAAUUUUGACAUAUUGAACUAAUUGGUCAGGGGGUUUUGAACUUUGUGUGACGACAACAUACCCAAGCUGGAAAAGCUGAGGAUGAAAGAAUGAGUCUGGAUUGAAUGAUAUGUACGUGUGUGGAUGGUAAACCCAAGGUGUCAAUUAAUGACAGACUUUGAAUCCCCUGUGUCCAGCUGAUCAGCUGAUGGGAGGCGAACAGUGAAGAUCGUCACUGAGGCUUAUUAGGAGUGUUUGUGGUUCACCUGCUGAAUAUCGUGGCUAGAACUUUGGACUUCAGUCUGUCUGCUUUGGCGAGACUCAUCUCUCAGGGGCAGAAUCCACUUUGUGAUCAAUGAGUACCCGAGUGCAUUUAGUAGCUUAUAAUUAGUCUUUUCCCCCCACUGGAGGAUUGCAGCACAUUCUGUCUGUUUACAUUAUUAAUGACGAAUAAAUUACCAUCAAAGUUUCCAUGUGAUUAGGGAAGCAUUUCUUUUCAGUUGGAUUGGUAACAAUGACGCGAUUGUCGGGCGCCUGACAGGGCGUCUGUCUGUUUCUCAUGUCCAAGCGGAACCCAAAUUCCCCGUUCUAUAGGCCCUCGUGUUUAGAUAAGAGAUAAAAUGGUUGUGACAGUUUCAUAUUUCAUGCUGAUAGUAGUAAUAAUAAUGAUAAUAGUAACAUCGCCAUGCAUCCUUUGGUGUUUAAUUGCAUCCCUUCAGUAAUAGAAUUGUUGAUAAUCUACAGAAAUGGGCUUUGCUGGUGAGAUACCAUUGUGUUCCCCUGACCCCACAUUAGCAUUGUUUUAUUUAAUUAGCAUGUAAAUGUUAUGCAUGUGCCACGGGUUCGCGUAGCUUGGCAGUAACACUUUGAAUUACAUGUCCCGUGAUCAAUUACUCGCCGCCCGCUGAAAUGCUAAAAGCAGCCGGGUCCAUCUGUUUUCUCAGAGGUAAUCCGAGAUGCCUGUUUGAAAACUUAUAGCUACCUGACAUUUUGCUCUGAAUUAAUUUUUCUUUGUUUUAUCAUUAAUUUUAUAAUUUGUUUAGAUGAAUCAAAUGAUUGUCUUCUGGCAAUCGGCGGCUCUUGCAACUUUUUAUGUUAUAAUUUUGAAUGCAUUAAAAUAUAAUUUUUGCAGCAAUUAAAAGUAUCAGUUACAAGUAUUUACUACGAUAGAGCACAUGGCAGGAUCUUAAGAAAAGAAUGCUGAUCAGAUAUUUCUGCAUUUGUGAAUGUUUCCCGUUUCCUGGUGUAAUGUGUCACUUUGCGCACGUUUUUGCUCCAUAACUCCU